UUGCUCUUUCUGGAUCAAAUCAAGCGCGAAAAGGGCGUUUGGUGGAUGCCUUGGCAGCAAGAGGCGAUGAAGGACGUGAUACCCUGCGUUAAGCCAUGGGGAGCCGGGAAUAGGCUUUGAUCCAUGGAUGUCCGAAUGGGGAAACCCACCUGAAGCUUUGUUAUGUUCACCCUCGGGUGAUGCAUAAUGAGGCUAACCAGGUACUUUACUCCUGAAUACAUAGGGGGUUUAGAGCAAACCCGGGGAACUGAAACAUCUAAGUACCCGGAGGAAAGGAAAUCAAUAGAGACUCCGUUAGUAGUGGCGAGCGAACGCGGACCAGCCGAGCCUGGAAGAACGAGCAGAAUGGUCUGGAAAGGCCAACGAUAGGGGUGACAGUCCCGUAUGCGAAGUUCCACAGGACAUAUCAAGUAGGGCGGGACACGUGUAAUCCUGUCUGAAGAUCGGGGGACCACCCCCGAAGGCUAAGUACUCCUUGCUGACCGAUAGCGAACCAGUACCGUGAGGGAAAGGUGAAAAGCACCCCGACGAGGGGAGUGAAACAGUACCUGAAACCGGACGCCUACAAGCAGUCGGAGGGGCCUCGAGCCCUGACGGCGUACCUUUUGUAUAAUGGGUCAACGACUUGGUCUUACGAGCAAGCUUAAGCCGAUAGGUGUAGGCGCAGCGAAAGCGAGUCUUAAAAGGGCGCAUGAGUUCGUGGGAUCAGACCCGAAACCAGGUGAUCUAGCCAUGAGCAGGAUGAAGGCACGGUAACACGUGCUGGAGGUCCGAACCGACACCCGUUGAAAAGGGUCCGGAUGAUUUGUGGCUAGGGGUGAAAGGCUAAUCAAACCUGGAGAUAGCUGGUUCUCCGCGAAAGCUAUUUAGGUAGCGCCUCGCACGAAUACCCACGGGGGUAGAGCACUGCAUGGGUGAUGGGGGCCCACAGCCUUACUGAGCCUAAGCAAACUCCGAAUACCGUGGAGUACUAUGCGGGAGACACACACCGGGUGCUAACGUCCGGUGUGAAGAGGGAAACAACCCUGAUCUGCAGCUAAGGCCCCAAAUUCAUGGCUAAGUGGAAAAGCAUGUGGGACGGCCAAAACAACCAGGAUGUUGGCUUAGAAGCAGCCAUCAUUUAAAGAUAGCGUAACAGCUCACUGGUCUAGAUAAGCUGUCCUGCGGCGAAAAUGUAACGGGUCUCAAGCCAUGAGCCGAAGCUCGGAAUGUGCAGCAAUGCACGUGGUAGCGGAGCGUUCUGUGAUAUAGCUUCAUGUGUUUUAACCCUCGCAAGAGGGCGAUGAACACAAGAAGCUUACUGUGAAGCCGGGCUGUAAGGCAUCCGGUGGAGUGAUCAGAAGCGAGAAUGUUGACAUAAGUAGCGACAAAGGGAGUGAGAGACUCCCUCGCCGAAAGUCCAAGGGUUCCUGCUUAAAGCUAAUCUGAGCAGGGUAAGCCGGCCCCUAAGGCGAGGCCGAAAGGCGUAGUCGAUGGGAACCACGUUAAUAUUCGUGGGCCAGUGGGAAGUGACGGAUCCUUACCGUUGUCAGGUCUUAUCGGAUUGAUCUGGCAGCCGCGGGGUUCCUGGAAAUAGCCCCACAUCAGACCGUACCCUAAACCGACACAGGUGGACUGGUAGAGUAUACCAAGGCGCUUGAGAGAACCACAUCAAAGGAACUCGGCAAAUUACCUCCGUAAGUUCGCGAUAAGGAGGCCCCAUAGGCGGGCAACCGUUUGUGGGGGGCACAAACUAGGGGGUGGCGACUGUUUACUUAAAACACAGGGCUGUGCGAAGCCGUAAGGCGACGUAUACAGUCUGACGCCUGCCCGGUGCUGGAAGAUUAAGAGGAGGGGUGCAAGCUCCGAAUUGAAGUCCCAGUAAACGGCGGCCGUAACUAUAACGGUCCUAAGGUAGCGAAAUUCCUUGUCGGGUAAGUUCCGACCUGCACGAAUGGCGUAACGAUCUCCCCGCUGUCUCUGAUGUGGACUCAGCGAAAUUGAACUGUCUGUCAAGAUGCAGACUUCCCGCGGUUAGACGGAAAGACCCCAUGAACCUUUACUCUAGCUUUGCACUGGCACCAGGAUUGGGAUGUGCAGGAUAGGUGGUAGGCAUUGAAGCGGGGACGCUAGUCUUCGUGGAGCCAUCCUUGAGAUACCACCCUUCUCAAUCUUGGUGUCUAACCGCGGCCCGU
rnacentral:rRNA from 1 species